rnacentral:rRNA from 1 species
UAAGACGAAGGAUGCAAGCGUUAUCCGGAUUCAUUGGGUUUAAAGGGAGCGUAGGUGGCCUUAUAAGUCAGUGGUGAAAGCCUGUUGCUUAACAACAGAAUUGCCAUUGAUACUGUAGGGCUUGAGUAUAGUUGCUGUGGGCGGAAUAUGACAUGUAGUGGUGAAAUACUUAGAGAUGUCAUAGAACACCGAUUGCGAAGGCAGCUCACAAAACUAUAACUGACACUGAGGCUCGAAAGUGCGGGAUCAAACAGGAUUAGAUACCCUGGUAGUCCGCACUGUAAACGAUGAUUACUCGUUGCUGGGAAGCAAUUUUCAGUGACUAAGCGAAAGCGAUAAGUAAUCCACCUGGGGAGUACGCCGGCAACGGUGAAACUCAAAGGAAUUGACGGGGGCCCGCACAAGCGGAGGAGCAUGUGGUUUAAUUCGAUGAUACGCGAGGAACCUUACCAGGGCUUGAAAGUUAGUGACCGAUCCUGAAA